GACGAACGCUGGCGGCGUGCUUAACACAUGCAAGUCGAACGGUGAAGCCCUUCGGGGUGGAUCAGUGGCGAACGGGUGAGUAACACGUGAGCAACCUGCCCCUGGCUCUGGGACAACCACUGGAAACGGUGGCUAAUACCGGAUACGACCCGCCUCGGCAUCGAGUGUGGGUGGAAAGUUUUUCGGCUGGGGAUGGGCUCGCGGCCUAUCAGCUUGUUGGUGAGGUGAAGGCUCACCAAGGCGACGACGGGUAGCCGGCCUGAGAGGGCGACCGGCCACACUGGGCCGGAGACAGGGCCCGGCUGCCGACGGGGGGCAGGGGGGGGAAAUUUUCCAAAAGGGGCGAAAGCCUGAGGCACGGACGCCGGGUGGGGAAGGGCGGCUUUCGGGUUAAAAACCUUUUUCACCUCCGAAGAAGCGAAAGGGACGGGAGGAGCAAAAAGAGCACCGGUAAACCAAGG
rnacentral:rRNA from 1 species